ACUCCUACGGGAGGCUGCAGCAAGGAAUUUUCCGCAAUGGGCGAAAGCCUGACGGAGCAACGCCGCGUGCGGGAUGGCGCUUUUCGGAGUGUAAACUGCUGUUCGUGGGGACGAAGCACUGACGGUACCCACGGAGGAAGGCCCGGCUAACUACGUGCCAGCAGCCGCGGUAAUACGUAGGGGUCGAGCGUUGUCCGGAAUUACUGGGCGUAAAGCGUGUGCAGGCGGCUCAUUGCGCCCGGCGUGAAAGCCCCCGGCUCAACCGGGGAGGGUCGUCGGGGACGGGUGAGCUUGAGGGUAUCAGGGGCAGGUAGAAUUCCCGGUGUAGUGGUGAAAUGCGUAGAGAUCGGGAGGAAUACCUGUGGCGAAGGCGGCCUGCUGGGAUACACCUGACGCUGAGACACGAAGGCGUGGGGAGCGAACGGGAUUAGAUACCCCGGUAGUCCACGCAGUAAACGAUGCAGACUAGGCGUGGGGGGACUUGACCCCUUCCGUGCCGGAGCUAACGCGGGAAGUCUGCCGCCUGGGGAGUACGGCCGCAAGGCUAAAACUCAAAGGAAUUGACGGGGGCCCGCACAAGCGGCGGAGCGUGCUCUUUAAUUCGUCGCAACGCGAAGAACCUUACCAGGGUUUGACAUGUUCCUGCAUGCCGGUGAAAGUCGGAGGCCUUCGAGGGUGGAACAC
rnacentral:rRNA from 1 species